AUUGAACUCUGGCGGCAGGCUUAACACAUGCAAGUCGAGCGAGCGGCGGACGGGUGAGUAAUGUCUGGGAAACUGCCUGAUGGAGGGGGAUAACUACUGGAAACGGUAGCUAAUACCGCAUACCAUCAGAUGUGCCCAGAUGGGAUUAGCUAGUAGGUGGGGUAAUGGCUCACCUAGGCGACGAUCCCUAGCUGGUCUGAGAGGAUGACCAGCCACGCUGGAAAUGAGACACUGUCCAGACUCCUACGGGAGGCAGCAGUGGGGAAUAUUGCACAAUGGGCGGAAGCCUGAUGCAGCCAUGCCGAGUGUGUGAAGAAGGCCGUCGGGUUGUAAAGCACUUUCAGCGGGGAGGCGUUACUCGCAGAAGAAGAACCGGCUAACUCCGUGCCAGCAGCCGCGGUAAUUC
rnacentral:rRNA from 1 species